AUACAUUAAAUAUUUUUACUAAAUACAUCAAGCAAGAGACGGGAAAAUUCCCGCUAGACACUCAAAUAUAACCGAUACAGGUGAAAUAAUGCAGUCGACGCCACUGUCUCUUGCAUAAAAGUGAUAAUUCACAAAUGGGCCAAUAAAGGCCAGCUUUAUCUGUGCAUGUUUGUUGCUUUUCGCGUGUGGACCAGAUACUAACGUGAACAAAUUGCAGUAGGCAACUUUGGAUCUAAUGGAGAAGUACAAGAGCGCAAAAUGUCCCGUUUGUUGGAAAAUAUUUGCCGGUAAAAUAUUCCUGUGUGCCAGAGGGCAUAGCGUAUGCCAUUUCUGUUCCUCGGCAAUUCUGAAAUGCCCAACCUGUGACCAAGAAAUUACGACGGUACGCAAUUUAACAUUGGAGGCAAUCAUAAAAGAAUUGUGCCCUAAUUUAAAACCGAAGGACGUCUGCAUGUGUCCGUCCUCGCUAUUAUGUGAAACAUUCCAUGGAAAGAAACAGGAUCUAAUCGGUCACAUGCAAAAAUGUCACUCACGCGACUUGAUAAUAUCAGCGCAAAGAAUGGGCAUUAAAAUCACGAAGUCGCUCUGCUAUUCUAAAGCAGAAGAACAGUUUUUCAAAGUUAUCUACUGCAACCAGAAGUUUUUUAAACUGCAUGUUAAUGUUCAACAUACCAUGUUGAUGGUGUACUUUUCGGUGAGGAUUAUCAACGAAACCAUCCAAGGGAAAUUUGAAGUGAGUUCCCAAAAUCAAAUAAGAACCAACAGAUUCUCUGCGCCAAUUACAUCAUAUAAGCGCGGUGAUCCCGAUCUACAUCGAACAGUGCCUGUUCCCAGGAUGCUAAUAACUCAUAACAUUGAUAACCGCGCCAUGCUAGUUGUGUAUUUGAAUUUAAUUUUUUAACUGUAAUUUUCAAAUUGUCUUUUAAAUAAAUUAUACAUUUUUCAAAAA